UACAUUAAAAUUGUCCUCUAUAUCAGGUAGCACUUUUGUCCAUUUAUUUUCGUCUUUUUCAUUCAACACAGCACGCAUCGCAUUAAACAAACUUCUCAUAACGCGUUCCACUGAAUGGAGAACAUUAUUUAAGUCUUUUUGUAUAAGUAGGACAUCUAAUCCUAACUAACUCGCAUCUGUAAGUAGUUCGGUUGACAAUUCCAGAUCAAAAAUGUUGAAAAUCGGAUAAGAAGUCAAUCGUACAUUUUCACAUUUACAUGUCCAUUCAAACGAUUUUCCAUCACGUAACAGUGCAGAUAUCGGUGCUGUUAAAGUAGCAAAGUUUUUCACAAGAUGUCUAAAAUAUCCAGCCAGUCCUUUUUCGAUCACACCUAAAUAUUUCACAGAUGUUUGGAAAAAGACUGGCUGGAUAUUUUAGACAUCUUAUGAAAAACUUAGCAAAUUUAACAGCACCGAUAUCUGCACUGUUACGUGAGGAAAAAUCUUUUGAAUGAACAUGCAAAUGUGAGAAUGUACGAUUGACUUCUUAUCCGAUUUUCAACAUUUUUGAUCUGGAAUUGUCAACCGAACUACAUACAGAAGCAAGUUCGUUGGGAUUAGAUGUCGCUAUUAGCUGUCGAAUAGAGGAAAGUUGAAACCAAAGUAUCACGGACCCUUUGAGGUAACGCAUUGUUUACCUAAUGAGAGGUACGCACUCCGAAGGAUUGGCAGCCGAGGUAGAACUACAACAGCAGCGCAUGAACAGUUACGAACCUGGCCAGAUACAGAAAUUCUAUAAGGUAUGAUGGAUAUAGAUUUAUUUAAUAAGAUUGAUGUGUGAAUGUGUGUAAAGGUCCCUGCUUAGUAGGCUGUUUAAGGUCCCUGUGUAUCAGGCUAUGUGUAAAGGUCCCUGCUUAGUAGGCUAUGAUUAAGGUCCCUGCUCGGCAGGCUAUUUUUAAGGUCCCUGCGUCGCAGGCUAUGUUUGAGGUCCCUACUUUGCAGGCUAUGUUUAAGGUCCCUAUUUUGCAGGCUAUGUUUAAAGGUCCCUGCUCGGCAGGCUAUUUUUAAGGUCCCUGCUCUGCAGGCUUAGAUUGUUGUGUUCUGGGUCUGUGAGACAAGCGGGUAAUAGACCUGGUACUGGUUGAACCGCCUCUGAGCUCCUGACUAGAAUAUGGUAUCUUUUGAUAGCACUUGAAAGACAUGGGUGUAACAGACCUGUUGAUGGUUGAGCCGCCUCUGAGCUUCUAGUGAUUGUUAACUGUGCCGCAUAACAGUCUAUUUUGUUAAAUGAUAUGAGGUUUAAGCUUAGUUCUUCGAAUAUAUUUUGAGCUUGUACUGCUGUUAUAAUGUUUACAGAUUACCGGUGUCAGGUGAAUCUUUGCAAAAACUGCGCAAGGUGCGAGGACGCCCCAAUGUCAGGAAGGCCGUGUUAGCUUACGUCAUCAUCUUCACCGAUGGACCGAUGCGACGGGCUCACAUCUAAUUAGACUAUUUUGUUUUGUAAACAAAUCUGAAGGAUUUGUUUAUAUUUGAUAAUCGGGGCAGUUCUUAAGAAAGAACCAGGCAGUCAAGCUUUAGAUGUCGAGGGUUAAACUACGUUUGUUGUAAUAAAGCGUAUUAUUGUGAA